CUGUCCUACGGGGGGCAGCAGUGGGGAAUAUUGGGCAAUGGGCGCAAGCCUGACCCAGCAACGCCGCGUGAAGGAAGAAGGCUUUCGGGUUGUAAACUUCUUUUCUCAGGGACGAAGCAAGUGACGGUACCUGAGGAAUAAGCCACGGCUAACUACGUGCCAGCAGCCGCGGUAAUACGUAGGUGGCAAGCGUUACCCGGAUUUACUGGGUGUAAAGGGCGUGUAGGCGGGGACGCAAGUCAGAUGUGAAAACCACGG
rnacentral:rRNA from 1 species